rnacentral:rRNA from 1 species
UACAGAGGUGCCAAGCGUUGUUCGGAUUUAUUGGGCGUAAAGGGUGCGUAGGCGGUGAUGCAAGUCGGGUGUGAAAUUCCGGAGCCUAACUCCGGAACUGCAUUCGAAACUGCAUCGCUCGAGGUCUGGAGAGGUAAUUGGAAUUCUAGGUGUAGCAGUGAAAUGCGUAGAUAUCUAGAGGAACACCAGAGGCGAAAGCGAAUUACUGGACAGAACCUGACGCUGAGGCACGAAAGCUAGGGUAGCAAACGGG